rnacentral:rRNA from 1 species
AUUGAACGCUGGCGGCAGGCCUAACACAUGCAAGUCGAGCGGAUGAAGGGAGCUUGCUCCUGGAUUCAGCGGCGGACGGGUGAGUAAUGCCUAGGAAUCUGCCUGGUAGUGGGGGAUAACGUCCGGAAACGGGCGCUAAUACCGCAUACGUCCUGAGGGAGAAAGUGGGGGAUCUUCGGACCUCACGCUAUCAGAUGAGCCUAGGUCGGAUUAGCUAGUUGGUGGGGUAAAGGCCUACCAAGGCGACGAUCCGUAACUGGUCUGAGAGGAUGAGCAGUCACACUGGAACUGAGACACGGUCCAGACUCCUACGGGAGGCAGCAGUGGGGAAUAUUGGACAAUGGGCGAAAGCCUGAUCCAGCCAUGCCGCGUGUGAAGAAGGUCUUCGGAUUGUAAAGCACUUUAAGUUGGGAGGAAGGGCAGUAAGUUAAUACCUUGCUGUUUUGACGUUACCAACAGAAUAAGCACCGGCUAACUUCGUG